rnacentral:rRNA from 1 species
ACGUAGGGGGCAAGCGUUGUCCGGAAUGAUUGGGCGUAAAGGGCGCGUAGGCGGCCUGGUAAGUCUGGAGUGAAAGUCCUGCUUUUAAGGUGGGAAUUGCUUUGGAUACUGUCGGGCUUGAGUGCAGGAGAGGUAAGUGGAAUUCCCGGUGAAGCAGUUAAAGGCGUAUAGAUCGGGAGGAGGAGCAGUGGGGCAGGGGACUUACAGGACUAAAACCACCUCUAGAACGCGAUAGUGUGGGUAACAAUAAG